rnacentral:tRNA from 1 species
GCGCCUAUAGCUCAGCGGUAGAGCAACGGCCUUUUAAGCCGAUGGUCGCAGGUUCGAUCCCUGCUGGGCGCA